GAGCGAGAAUUUGUUAGACUUAGUAAGUAUGCCACAGAGAUAGUUCCUACAGAGGAAGAGAGAUGUAAACGCUUUGAGCAAGGAUUGCAUGCUGAUAUAAGGAUGUACCUCACAGUUAUGCAUAUUAGGGAACUCUCAGUUUUAGUAGAGACAGCCCACAGUCUGGAGCGAAUUAAAGAAGAAGUGAACCUAAACUGGAUACAGAGUUAGUGCAUCCGGAACAGUGUGUAUUGAUUAUACUAUAACUAAUUAUGUACUCAGUGAAAUUUGUUAAUACCAGUGCCAAAUGAAUCCUAAGAAGUAUACCUAAAACUUUGUAGAAGACACUUAAGCUUGAAUUUGUAUAGAAAUGUAUGAAUCUGAUAAUUUUUGUGAUACUAUAAACAGGUACUAAUACUGGACUGAUUAAGACCUGAUUGAGCAGCUGGUAAAGAAAAAUUCAUAACUUAAGUUAGGAUAAUCAGAAUUGCAUGAAUCAUACCUUGUUGGAAAGAUAAGACAUAAAUGUACAUUUCUUAUGAAGAAAAUGAAGUUAAAUUAUAACUCUAAACUACUUGAAAAGUUGAUGCAAUAUAUGGCAGACUGUAGUUUUCUACAUUAAAAUGCUAAGUCAAUAAAGUUUUGCACUAUUUGCCAUGAGUUUUCCAUAUUGUAAAUCUUGGCAUAUGAUAUAUGUAACUUGGAAAAUGAAUUCAAAUAGCUUCAAAUGGCAUGCAUUUUACAUUGAUACAUUGAAUUAAUAGUGCUUGGCCCUGGUAAACGUAAUAGGAGUCGAGGUUAGUAUAAGGGUAUGGCAUGCCAUAUAAACAUACAGAGUUCGCAGUACUGCUACCGAUACAUGAUUUUUUUCUUUGAGGUUACAUAUCAGGUACCUCAUAAGCACGGUCAUAGAGCCCUGCUAUCACAGUUUUGGCCUCUGAGCCUACCGUUCGGCACUCUGUGCCUACCGUUAUAACUCCUUAUCUACCUAGACGAUCCUACUAUGUGUUUAUAAGGGCUAAGAUCUUAAUUAAGAUUGAUACUUGAUUUUGUGAACUUAUUAGUGAGUGUUAAUAUGUUUGCAUCUCUUACAUGCACUAAGCUGUGGUAAUUUAUUAUAAAUAGAAAAUGUGCAAUAACGGAAAAAGAAGAUGUUUUUAUUCCGAUUAUCUGUAUACGUGAACUUGUUUGCUCUAUUUUGUUAUUUGUUUGCUAUCACCCACUGAGCAUUAGCUCAGCGUGUUGGUUUUUACCUCACGCAGGUUGUAGAUAAAAUAGGGCAACAGAAGUUAUCAGAGAUCUACAUCAGAUAUCAAGGCCAUCAUCAUAGCUGGUUGUUUUGAGUCUCGGAGUCAUAGUACAGUUUUAUUUUGGCAUGUACAUAUUAAAUAGAGUGAGUUGUGAAGGUUAUGUAAAUCAAAGAAUAGUAAGAUAUCAAGUGACAGUUGUUAGUGUUAUUAUAAGUGUGAUGUUCAUAUGUAUUACAGGUUAAAGUGCUAAUAAAACAGAGAAAACUCUGCCGAAAAUUUUGGUUUAAAAAUCUCACGCUUAUUUUAAUCUUGAUGAAAGUUACAUGCAUUACCUAAAAACUUGGUAUUUACAGAUAAAAGAAAUUGUUUAGUCCUGAUAUAUUUAAAAAGGUAUAGUUUGUGACAUUCCUUACUCUAUCUACUCUUUGAUAGGGUAAGGGGUGUUACAGGAUACAUGCACAGGUCAGGUUUGGGUUCAACAGAUGUUCAGUUUUCAUGUUUUUAUGGUUAAGUUUUUAAUCAUGUAUGGGAUUUGACCAGGUAAUAGUAUGUAUGUUUGGCUUGCUACGGG
rnacentral:lncRNA from 1 species